rnacentral:lncRNA from 1 species
UUAGCUCGGGAAUGAUACUGCAAGUUUUAAUACAUCAGGAAACAGAAGCGAUGGUGGAUUGAGUUCAUAGAAUCAUAGAAUCAACUAGAUUGGAAGGGACCUUAAAGAUCAUCUAGUCUAACCAUCAACCUAACUCUGAAAAAAAAAUAAAUAAGAAAUAAAAAUCACUAAACCAUAUUCACUAUAGUUGUCACUAUUAUUUAUGUUUAAAAUAUUGAAACUGUUUUCUUAGUGAGUUCAUAUAUUGAACUCAUCAAGACAUGUCAUACUGUAAAAAAAUUACAGAGCAUGAGCCGGAGAUUCUCUACUUACUCGCUAACUCUGAAUGUGUGUUUAGAUUAGUUAUCUAAUGCUAGAUAACCAAAGUAUCUGAAAUUGAGCUGGUCAUAAGAUGUGUUGAACUCCCUUUUCAGUCACUAUAAUCCCUUUGCUAAUCAUUCAAGAUGUAGGCGUUCAGCUCCAAAAACUGUGGUCUCAGUGUCUUAGCUUUUAAAACUGUAACGUGAUAGAAAUCUUUUUCCAGGUGAUUCAAAGCACAAGGUGUCCUUCCUAAGUAUUCAGGUGCAUUCAGAGGAAAGCUGCUGAAGAAAUAACAAGUAUUGUUAUCUGUUUGUACCAAAGAACAGAAAUCAGAGUUUUGUGGAAUUUUUUCUUUUAAGCACCUUGUUGGAAAAAAGGCCCAUGGCUGUGAUUAGCUCUUAUAUGGCAAGAAGAAAUGUGGUUGCAAUUUUGGACUUGUUUUGUGAACUCGUAUGACUAUGAAAUCCAAAUUGGCCCUGAGGAAGGAGGCGAAAAAGGUUAGUCAGACUAAUGAGAAACUUCAUGCUUUCAAGUCUGCACGGAAAAAAAGAAUCACUGAUUGGUGUUACCUCUAUCAAACUUAAUCACCUACUUUCUGGGCAAACACAGGAGACGUUUAGAAGCCGGUAUUGUGAGUUAAACAGCUUCUGAGUGAAGACAUAGAGGACAUUGCAUGUGGAAGAAAUGACUGAAGGUUAUCUAGUGAUAGAAGAAAAUUAAUUCAUUGGGAAACUGAGGAAGGGACUGGAGAAUUAUUGAAAGUAAAAUCUUGAAAGAUUUUUUUCAUCACUUUCCUCAGAAAUGGAUAUGUGACCUCAGUUAAAACUUUUCAUAAAUUUUUAAUCUAAAAGAAGACAUCCAUCUUGAAUACUAAAAUGUAGCAAAGAUAAACACCUGAAAUCAAAGUUCUACAACGGGUAUUGUCAGGCAACUGAAUUCUAAGUGGUGUAAAUGACAAAGACUAGAGUAAGACUAGAGUGGCUGGAAACAUAAG